UAGACACCUUAUUUAUAUAGGUUAGUUAUUUAGCGACGCACCAUAGAAGACGCAUAUUGAACGGGACUAGUGACGUUUGGGAUAUGUUGGGUUAGAGACCGGAAAAUCAGUUAGCGAUAGAACACUCCAGGGUAACGACGUGUUUAGUGACAGAGACUUCUACUGUGGCCUUUUAUCAGAAUAAAUCCAUGUACAAUUGUUCAUCAGAGUCGACUACAUCUCUUCACUUGUUAAAACAGGUGUUGUAUGGUUCUUGUUUGACUUGUUGGUCAACUACACGUAAUACACCCGAACAAUCACACCCAAACGAUUGCAGAGUAAUUGGUUGACUUCAAGACAGCCUGAACUAGCAACAUCACAGUGGCGACCCCGAACCUCGAAGCCGGACCCCUGAUGAAGCCGAACAUCGAACCGGACCUCGAAGCAGAACGUUUACUCAGGUGAGGGUCGUGCACUCGAAGAUAUAAGAUUUCAUCGGAGUACGGCUGAACACAGCAUCAUCGCAGAGUGACUUUGUUCUAGAUCUACAUACAGUCGUCGCCUGUUUGAUCGCACGUUCAACGAGCCGUUAACUCAGGGUGACCUUCGUCAGGACAGUAAUCAUCGCAACGCCUGAUCUUCAUAUGCUGAAUCGACCUACAACCAGAGAAACCGUUCGUUCAUAACGGGUGAGAGAUCGUUAGUGAACCUGUUGGACAUAUUUUUUUCUUCGUCGUAGGAGCCACAUCGAGUAUCAAGUUUUACCUCGCCAGUUCGAGAAGGACAGUUUGCCCGCUGUCAGAAGUAUUGUGAGUACUACAAGUUUGGUAGCUAACUAAAUCGCUCUGUCGUCUUACCCUUGGAGAGAUUCUUGUGGAGCAGUUUGCUCAUUGAACCGGUUGCUUGCCACUUUUAUAACGGACACUGUGUUUAACCUUUGGAAGGUUAGUGAAGUAAUCUUUAUCAGUACUGAACAUUGAUAUAUCUAGUAUUCGUCGGUCUAGACCAUACCUAGACUUGUUAGCAGUGAAGUUGUGGAAACAGCUACAUCCACUUAAUUUCGUUGAAAACCGUUAGUCGUAUAACGGAACGUCGUCGGAGGUGACCUUGGUCUCACCUAGUCUACAUUGGACAGUUUGGUCUAGUGAAGCAGAGUACAACAGCAAACUUCGUCGUACUACCAGAGUAGCAGCAGAAGCAGUGAACUAUUUUAGAAAGUCGUUAUUCGUCAGCCCAGAUCAAGUCAUCGUCAAGAAAGUCGUUAUUCGUCAGCCCAGAUCAAGUCAUCGUCAAGAAAUUCGUUAUUCGUCAGUCGUCCAGAUCAAGUUGUCGUCAAGAGACUAUUAUUUGUCAGUAGUCGUCUACACAAGUCAAGUCGUCGCCAGAAGAACCGUUAACCUAUUCGUCAGUAACUGUGUACACAAAGUCGUCAGAACUACACAUACGGUCAUCAACAGUCGCCGAAGGAACUGAAACAUUUUGCUGUGGCAUAUCAGGACAUCUGUGGCAUUACGUGGGAUACUGGUAGCACCGGAGAACAGAGUCAGAACUGGAAGAGAGGCAGUGGAAUUUGUUGUGAUCUAGCAUAUUCGGGAGUCCGAACAAAGGGAUCUUUCUUAUCAAAAGCUAAGUGCCAUUUUUCUUAUUAGUAUAUGUUUAGAUUGCCCUUAGAAAUAGAUUUUGUCUAAAUUUGGUAUGUUAGCCUGAGAUUCAGGUGGUGCUGAAGCCUUAAACCCGUUCGGGGUAGAAGACAUAAUUUAGAUGAAAAGCUAUAUUAUACGUUUAGGGUUGUAAUUGUUUUGUUUGUGUAAACGUCAUAUCCGUUGUUGCCUAGUUACUUCGUGACGUUAUCAUUGUGUGCCAUAUUGUCAUAUCCCAACCCAUAGCGAUAGUCUCAUUUAAUUAUUUCAUUUGUUUAUAUUAUUUUAAAUUAUUUAUUUUUAUUAAUUUAAUUAGAUCUGUAUUUUUUUUUCACUUAAUGAUAGAAAGUGCGGGUAGGAUUCUUUUACUGUGAAUCAGACUAAAAUAAUUUUAGUUUGAGCGGUUAAAAUCAAAUAUGAUUUUGCCAUGAGAAUAAUGCCGAAACUGGCAUCGUAGUCAAACACUGUCGUCUGGCUAAAUAUAGAUCUACAAAUUUUGUACAUCUCUUUGGUACAAUUAAAUCAUCUAGACUCUAAGUUGAAAUAUUAUUAAUUGAAAGAUGAAUGAAGAUUACUGCCAGUGAAGAACAUUUGUGAUGUAUGACGUGCCCAUAAGAUGCCACAUUUUCCUCCAUGAUGAACUGUGUAAUAAUGAAGAUGAUUCUGGAGUGUUAUGAACAUUGACAUUGAAUAUGAGGAACUGUCAAGUCAAGAUGAAGAUGUCAAGAUUUUAUGUUUGUUGUCUUCCCCUUAAAUUGAAAAUGCCCUUGUAAGACUUGACAGUAGUGGAAAAAUAUUGACAUAUUUUUUUUUCAAGGGGGGGAGGAAUCUGUUAGACACCUUAUUUAUAUAGGUUAGUUAUUUAGCGACGCACCAUAGAAGACGCAUAUUGAACGGGACUAGUGACGUUUGGGAUAUGUUGGGUUAGAGACCGGAAAAUCAGUUAGCGAUAGAACACUCCAGGGUAACGACGUGUUUAGUGACAGAGACUUCUACUGUGGCCUUUUAUCAGAAUAAAUCCAUGUACAAUUGUUCAUCAGA